rnacentral:lncRNA from 1 species
GCCCACAGGGGUGCUGGAACAGCUACGGUCCAUGGUGGAAGACUCUGAGGACGCCGCUCCAGGGCUACAGCCUGUAUAGUCCAUGCCCUCGUCUGUCUCGGCAUCCAUUAGGCUCGGGGGACCCUGGAAGAAAGGAGAGGGGCCCUAAGUUCUGGACUGUCUCAGCCGUCUACGGAGGGCCCAGACUGGAGGUGACAGCAACCUCCAGGAACUCCAAAGGCCCCUACCACCGUGAGCACAUGACCAGGAGAGGCCUGCCCGGUAGACACCACAUCUAUCCACCCGCCCUUCCCUAUCUUCCAGCUUCCGGUCCAUUCCUAGGAAAAUUCUGCCCCACAUCUGCAGGUCUAUAGAAGCUUGCCCUGCGCCUAAAUUUGCCUCUGCCUGUGGGCCUGAGGCUCUUCUCUAUAGGGCCAGAGCAGGAAGGUAUCCGAGAGGCAUCGAAAGACACCCGCUGCCAAGCUCAGAAGCACCCGGAGCCUCCGUCUCUGGCACCUCACGUACCUCAGUUUUUGUAAGCAUGUGCUAAAGGCUUUACAAAGUAAAUAAAUAACUGAAAUGG